rnacentral:lncRNA from 1 species
CAGCCUCCUGAAUAGCUGGGACCACAGGUGUUCUGGGACUCAGUGUUAGAAGCUGUCUGUCUGUAAGAAUCUUGCUGUCUCUGCCUCAUGAAAACAAUUGCAGUGAUGAGAACCAGUUACUAAUGGCAUACAUCACACAUUUCAGCCCAUCUUCUGGGUGAGCAGGUGGUUGAGCUGUCCCUCGCCUUUGAAUCAGGAAGUUAGCAUCAAAAAUG